UAUAAAGAGAAAUAACAGAACAAAUAUCAGUUUUAUUAACGUCUAUUUAAAAAAAACGUGUGCAAAGUAACAUUCUAUGUAAAACUGUCAUCACAGGAGCAUUCUGGGAAGAUUAUCAGUUUCAGGACAACAAUAUUUAUAGAAAUGUUGAUAGUCGUAGAGCAGAGGUCUCAAACGCGUUUUUCUCACACACACGAUUUCCGGACAGUUUAUUUUGUAUAGCCCAAUAUCACAAAUUCCAACCUCCCCUCCGAGGGCUUUGAACCAACUCGUCCGUUGUUGUCGUAGUUAGACCGCUGUUGAAGAUAGGAAGAGAACACGUAGCUCACUCGUGAAUGCCGCAUUGUUUAAUUUGUAUAGUAUAUAUCAUUAUGUAUAUGAGAGGGGUUGACACUUCAUUACAAAAUUAAACCAAGCGGCAUUCAUGAGGACCGCUAUACGAGAAAAGUCGGCAGUUAACAGGGUCGCCUGUUGAACCGUUACACCGGUCAAACCUCCGUAGAAUGGGCGGUCCUGUGCUGGGAUGCCAAAUGGCUCAUGGACUGAGCUUGUUGACGUCACACAGCUGAAUGGACCUAGAGGCCAGGGGGAGCUUUUCAGUGCUGCUAUGACAUCCUCAGAGCAUUCUCCACACAACUUGUUAUGGAAAGAUCUCUCAGAAAAACCUCUGCCAUUUCCCAGCAUGCAACGCACUAAUAAUAAUAAUAAUAAUAAUAUAUCCUUUAUUGAUCCCUGUGGGUACAUUCUUCUCUGCAUUGUACCCAUCCUUAGUUCUUAAGGUACGGUGGGCUGCAGUGAAGCGCUCCGGGAGCAACUGGGGGUUCAGUGUCUUGCUCAUAAUUAAUAAAGAUUGAGAAGAUUGGAUCAGUUGUACUUUUUCUUUGAAUACUUGAUGCGGCCCAGCCUCACCCAGACUCUACCUCCAGCGGCCUCCAGGUAAAUUGAGUUUGAGACCGCUGUCGUAGAGGGUCAAAGAUCAGGAAAUACUGUCGUUAUUUACUUUCAGGUAAACAAGGUGUGUGAAAAGAUCAAUGAGACAAUCCAGGUGAGCUCUGCUUUACAGUAAAGGUCCCGUCUUUGGAUAUGGGGACCGAAAACAUAAUUAGUUUAUUCAACUAAUGAGUCUCAGGUGUUCUCAGGUGAGUCCCACAGGUGUUCUCAGGUGAGUCCCACAGGUGUCUCAGGUGUUCUCAGGUGAGUCCCACAGGUGUCUCAAGUGUUCUCAGGUAAGUCCCAAAGGUGUGUCAGGUUACACCCACAUGUGUCUCAGGUGUUCUCAGGUGAGUCCCACAGGUGUCUCAGGUGUUCUCAGGUGAGUCCCACAGGUGUCUCAGGUGUUCUCAGGUGAGUCCCACAGGUGUCUCAAGUGUUCUCAGGUAAGUCCCAAAGGUGUGUCAGGUUACACCCACAUGUGUCUCAGGUGUUCUCAGGUGAGUCCCACAGGUGUCUCAGGUGUUCUCAGGUGAGUCCCACAGGUGU